UUAACCUUAAACAUCCAUGAAAGAAACUUUAUAUCGUGCGAGUAUAAUACAAAUCUUUUAGCUUUAGUUUGAGGAAAUUCUUUUAUUAUGUAAAUUUAAAACUAUUUUUUAAAUGAAAAUUUAAAAUAAAAUAGCCUUUGAACUCAUAAAAUCCACCUUUGUAAAAGCUGGCAUGUGGAUCAAAAAAUAUGGGGGCACAAAAGCAGUUGUCCCUGGCAAUGAUAGGCUAUCAACAGCCCAUCCCCAUGCAGAAUGACUAACCUGCUAAAAUCAUUCUUAUCAACUUAUACAAAUAAGCAGAUAGAGUUCUAAUCAAUUGCCAGCAUUUCCAUGUAUUUUUUUUUCUUGGGACCUGAAUAUUUAUCCAUACUUUUUUCCUCUCUAUUUUGUAGAAGAGUCUGGGAAUAAUUUAGCUAGAGAUUCCUUAUUCCUUUGGAAACCAGGGCUGCAAACUUGUAUUUUAAAGCUGUGAAAAAUGUAAUGUAUUAUAAGCACUGAAAUUUUUGUUCAAGUUGAUAUUUUCAAAACGAAGUUUCCAUUGUAGUAAAAACUUUCCAUCGUGAGGUAGCAAAAUGUCAUUAUUUGUAAUAAGCAAAAAAGAGAAGCCUUUGUUUUGGCUUAAAAUUCAAUACAAGUAGGUGGGAUCAUUCUAAAAUGCAUGGAAGUAGCAUUCAACAAAAUAUGCUGGUAAUGAUGGUGCAAUGAAAUUCCCUACAUGAGGAUCAGUCAAUCAGCCAUCUCAUCUCUGUGUCUUGCUUUCCCUGCUGCAUGAAUGCAGACCAUCCAUGAAACCAGCUCCCACACCAUUAUAGUGGACUCUUUGUAGGCUGUUUGUUGGGGCGGGUGUGUAUAGCGAGAGAUGUCUAUGCAUUUACACCAGUGUGUCGGUGUUCAGUUUAGGUGCAUGCCAUACAUUGCUGCUGCCACAGAUGGAUAUGCAAGAGCAGAAAAUGCAGCUGGAGGGUUUCAGAUGCCUCAGUCCAGUGAGCCCUGGGCGUUUCCCAGGUUCAUGUCGUUGCAGAACCCCUGCAAGGAAUACACUCCUGAUUGUUUUAUUUACAUCCUACAAGGAAGCUUCUUCAGACCCACACUUGCUGCUUCAUUUCAUCAUCAAGUGCUACCUGCAAACUCUGGAAGUGAAGCCAUGUUAGGUGGAAGCUUGGGCACAGAUCUCAUGACUGCUACCCUGAAAAACCUGCUGUGUGCCAGACCCAUCAGUGUGUGAGGCUGAAUGGUCAUCCUUCUGGUGGAAUGCAACUGUAAACUACUCCAAAAGGUUUUCUAUUAGUGCAUCUCUUGAUAUCUGUGUUGGAAAGUUGGGCUGCUAUGAAGAUCUCCAUAAGUUGUUAAAUCCACUGGAGUCAUGCUGGAGGGUUAUUGCUUAUUGUUUUUUGGAGGAGGUGGAACCAACUCCAAACACUGUGCAGCACUGAAUGUGAACUAAUAUCUGGGACAGUAAGGAAAUCCAAUGCGUGUCUGAAUUGAGAUUCUUUCAUUGGCCUUCUGAAAGCAAUUCUGAGCAUGUUUUGAGCUGCUUUCUCUCUGAUUCUGUAGGCACAAAAGACCAGCUGCAAAGAUGCUUUUUCUGGUCACUUGUUAUAACUCUGAUUUACUACUGCAUUCAAUCUCACAGAUUGUUGGUACAAUAGACCAACAUGGUUCCAUCUCUCCCACCAGUAGCGAAUGCUGUACAAUGCCUCAGCCUUUAUGAUGAGUAGUGAUAAAGUUAUUGCACACGUGCAGCCUUCAUGUGAAUUUCUUUCAAACUACUCAAAAGAGAUUAGGUCACUCCACUGGCAUAAAAAAAAAAUCUUCAUAAUUCUUCUUCUGAGCGAAAUCAGUGGCUUCCCAAUGGGGAGAGAGGAAAAACUUCUAUUGAAACAGUUGGGAAACUGUUACAGUUCAGUAUCUGAAAGGUAUUGAUUGUAAAUAAAAAAAAUUGUUACUACUGAUCUGCA
rnacentral:lncRNA from 1 species